rnacentral:lncRNA from 1 species
AGAAAAUUAGAAGGGAUCUUUACUUUGAGACACAAAACUCCUUGUACUGUACAACUUUCAAAGGAAAAAGUGGGAUCUCAACUUUCACAAAAUAGUAUGACUGUAAUUCAAAUAAUUUAAUAGCAAAUUACAAGUGCCUAGGGCAGGAUAUGGACCUCGAAGUACGAGAGCUAUAGUGGCAUUGGUAUGGUAAAUCAAUCAUAAACUGCUUCUUUUCCUAGGCUGCACCAUCAGUACCAUUUUUGUGCUGUUCACUACCAUCAGAGUCUUGGAUCCCACAAGAGGUUAACUUCAUUCAAGAUCUCAACCACCAAGAGGAACAUACCGAGAAGUGACCUCUUACCUGCUGAUGACCUCUAAAUCCACCAGAGACCCCCAGGGGAUGGUCGGUACAUGACUGAAAGCUACAAGCUCAGAUUCUAUUCACAUAUCUGCACUGAAUUAUGCACAGACAGCAAGCAGGCAUGGAUCUGGACAACAGAGCAGUCACAGAGGGCUGUUAGAAGACAAAAGGAUGAAGAACCUCAGAGACAAAUCUCUGGAGAUGGGAUAAUCAAGUGUGCUGCUGAGCAGGG